rnacentral:tRNA from 1 species
GGUGAUAUGGCUUAGUGAGCAGAGCACAGGACUUUCAUGCAUGAGGCCCCAGGUUAGAUUCCUGGGUGGUAACA